UAUAAACCUUUUCAGAAAGUAGCACCAUGGAGGAAGAUAGUCUUCAGACAACUUAGUCCUAGGCCUACACACAACGAAUUUGACAGAACUUAGCAUCACGAGAUAUUGAUGAAAAGGAAACCGUUUGGGAGAGAAAUCAUGAGUUAACUGGAGUUACUACCAACGUGAAGAGAGAGUGAGUCGCGAAAAUAAAAUGCUGUGAAACUGCGCGUCAGAUUUUCAGAAAACAGCCGAAGGGUUAAACUACCAACACAAGAACUUGCAGAGGAUUAGCCAAAGGGUUAUACUACCACCAAGAUAAGAACUUGCGGGGAAACAGAUGAAGGGUUACACCACCAACUCCACCCAGACAAGAACUUGC